rnacentral:lncRNA from 1 species
GAAAAUCCAUGUCCUGCCUUUUUGGCGAGACAAAAAGUGCAAUUAUUGUCUUCUAUGAGAAGGGCAUUUAUGUCUUUUCGCAAAAGAUAGUCCAUGUCCUACCUUCCUUUCUGGUGAGACAAAAAGUGCAGUUAUUGUCUUUUAUGAUUAGAAUGAGAAGGGCAUUUUCGUCAUUUUGCAAAAGAAAAUCCAUGUCCUGCCUUUUUGGCGAGACAAAAAGUGCAAUUAUUGUCUUUUAUGAGAAGGGCAUUUAUGUCUUUUCGCAAAAGAUAGUCCAUGUCCUACCUUCCUUUCUGGUGAGACAAAAAGUGCAGUUAUUGUCUUUUAUGAUUAGAAUGAGAAGGGCAUUUUCGUCAUUUUGCAAAAGAAAAUCCAUGUCCUGCCUUUUUGGCAAGACAAAAAGUGCAAUUAUUGUCUUUUAUGAGAAGGGCAUUUAUGUCUUUUCGCAAAAGAUAGUCCAUGUCCUACCUUCCUUUCUGGUGAGACAAAAAGUGCAAUUAUUGUCUUUUAUGAGAAGGGCAUUUAUGUCUUUUCGCAAAAGAUAGUCCAUGUCCUACCUUCCUUUCUGGUGAGACAAAAAGUGCAAUUAUUGUCUUUUAUGAUUAGAAUGAGAAGGGCAUUUAUGUCUUUUCGCAAAAGAUAGUCCAUGUCCUACCUUCCUUUCUGGUGAGACAAAAAGUGCAAUUAUUGUCUUUUAUGAUUAGAAUGAGAAGGGCAUUUUCGUCUUUUUGCAAAAGAAAAUCCAUGUCCUGCCUUUUUGGCAAGACAAAAAGUGCAAUUAUUGUCUGCUAUGAGAAGG